GAUCAAUAAAACCGGAAGAGAUGUACCAUUUGCAUAUUUUAUCAUGAGCAAGGAAUCAAGUGAAACACUAAGCCUUUGCCUACAGGAGCUUCAGCGAAGCAAUCCUAGCUUUUAUCCAAGGUCCGUAAUGAUUGACCGUGACCUAAAGGUGCUCAAUGCCGUCAAACAUGUUUUUCCAAAUGCAAAGGUUCUCCUUUGUUGGUUCCAUGUGCUUCAGGCUGUUAAUAGAUGGCUUGUGAAGACUGAUGGAGGGCACUUGACAACUGACCAGAGAAAUGAGGUCAUACAUGCCAUAGUGUCCAUGAAAGCAUG